rnacentral:rRNA from 1 species
CCUACGGGUGGCAGCAGUGAGGAAUAUUGGUCAAUGGGCGCGAGCCUGAACCAGCCAAGUAGCGUGAAGGAUGACUGCCCUACGGGUUGUAAACUUCUUUUAUAGAGGAGUAAAGUGAGGCACGUGUGCCUUUUUGUAUGUACUUUAUGAAUAAGGAUCGGCUAACCCCGUGCCAGCAGCCGCGGUAAUACGGAGGAUCCGAGCGUUAUCCGGAUUGAUUUGGUUUAAAGGGAGCGUAGAUGGGUUGUUAAGUCAGUUGUGAAAUUUUGCGGCUCAACCGUAAAAUUGCAAUUGAUACUGGCAGGCUGGAGUACAGUUGAGGUAGGCGGAAUUCGUGGUGUAGCGGUGAAAUGCGUAGAUAUCACGAAGAACUCCGAUUGCGAAGGCAGCUUACUAAACUGCAACUGACAUUGAUGCUCGAAAGUGUGGGUAUCAAACAGGAUUAGAUACCCGUGUAGUC